rnacentral:rRNA from 1 species
AACGAACGCUGGCGGCAGGCCUAACACAUGCAAGUCGAACGGACGUAGCAAUACGUUAGUGGCGCACGGGAGAGUAACACGUGGGAACCUACCUUUUGGUUCGGGAUAACGUCGGGAAACUGACGCUAAUACCGGAUAAGCCCUAUGGGGGAAAGAUUUAUUGCCAAAAGAUGGGCCCGCGUUAGAUUAGCUAGUUGGUGAGGUAAUGGCUCACCAAGGCUACGAUCUAUAGCUGGUCUGAGAGGAUGACCAGCCUCACUGGGACUGAGACACGGCCCAGACUCCUACGGGAGGCAGCAGUGGGGAAUAUUGGACAAUGGGGGCAACCCUGAUCCAGCCAUGCCGCGUGAAUGAUGAAGGCCUUCGGGUUGUAAAGUUCUUUUGGUAGGGACAAUAAUGACGGUACCUACAGAAUAAGCUCCGGCUAACUUCGUGCCAGCAGCCGCCGUAA